AUGUUAUUAUUGACAAGUGGGGGCUUACUCCUGCCAUUUUGUUAUUUGUUUUCUGGUUGUUUUUUAGUCAUCUCUUCCUUCUUCUCUUCCUUUCUGCAGUUUCAUUUUGGCAGUUAUUUUAUAGAUGGUGCUAUGUAGUUCAUAUUUCAUCACAUUAGGAGAUGUACUUUUAGUAAUGCUAAGACUGAGCAAUGGGUUCAGAUGGUGACAGUCUAAUCCACUAUAAAAUUUCCCAUCAACCUUAAACUUAAUUGUUUUACCAUCCAUUGAUGAACAUUGCCUGAUUCCAUCAUUUCGCUAGAGGUGACAAAAAGGUAAUUUUGAAUUCUG
rnacentral:lncRNA from 1 species